GACAGAGGAUGCAAGCGUUAUCCGGAAUGAUUGGGCGUAAAGCGUCUGUAGGUGGCUUUUUUAAGUCUGCCGUCAAAUCCCAGGGCUUAACCCUGGACAGGCGGUGGAAACUACCAAGCUGGAGUACGGUAGGGGCAGAGGGAAUUUCCGGUGGAGCGGUGAAAUGCGUAGAGAUCGGAAAGAACACCAACGGCGAAGGCACUCUGCUGGGCCGACACUGACACUGAGAGACGAAAGCUAGGGGAGCAAAUGGG
rnacentral:rRNA from 1 species